rnacentral:snRNA from 1 species
UUACCACUCUGGCCUUUUGGCUUAGAUCAAGUGUAGUAUCUGUUCUUAAUAGUUUAACCACUAUUAUGAGGGCACCGCCCUCAUUCUUCGGUUAUCAAAAUUUUUGCCGCCCUUGAUUCCUGUGAGCUCUGCUUGCAACUCCAGGGACGUGAUGACCUUGCCACUGCAGUACCGGCUCGUGUCGUCGGGGGAUC